rnacentral:piRNA from 1 species
UCUCCCUUUCCUCAAACCUUC